CCUACGGGGGACAGCAGUAGGGAAUGUUCGUCAAUGGGCGCAAGCCUGAACGAGCAAUGCCGCGUGAACGAGGAAGGUCUUCGGAUCGUAAAGUUCUGUUGAAGGGGAAAAAGAGCGGAGAGAGGAAAUGCUUUCUGAUUGAGAUUACCCUUCGAGGAAGGCACGGCCAACUACGUGCCAGCAGCCGCGGUAAUACGUAGGUGGCGAGCGUUAUCCGGAAUGAUUGGGCGUAAAGGGUGCGUAGGCGGCCUGCUAAGUCUGGAGUGAAAGGUACCGGCUCAACCGGUACAGGUUCUGGAAACUGGCGGGCUAGAGCGCAGGAGAGGGCGGUGGAACUCCAUGUGUAGCGGUCAAAUGCGUCGAUAUAUG
rnacentral:rRNA from 1 species